AUACGGAGGGUGCGAGCGUUAAUCGGAAUUACUGGGCGUAAAGCGUACGUAGGCGGUUGCUUAAGUCAGAUGUGAAAGCCCCGGGCUCAACCUGGGAACUGCAUUUGAAACUGAGUGACUAGAGUUUAAGAGAGGGGAGUAGAAUUCCGGGUGUAGCGGUGAAAUGCGUAGAGAUCCGGAGGAAUACCAGUGGCGAAGGCGGCUCCCUGGCUUAAAACUGACGCUGAGGUACGAAAGCGUGGGUAGCAAACAGGAUUAGAUACCCCGGUAGUCC
rnacentral:rRNA from 1 species